UCUCCGUUGGUGAACCAGCGGAGGGGUCAUUACUGAGUUACCGCUCCACAACCCUUUGUGAACAUACCUAACUGUUGCUUCGGCGGGCAGAGGUCCCUCGCGGAUCUCUCCCGGCAACGCCCUCACGGGCGGAGCGCCCGCCGGAGGAUACCAAACUCUAUUUUAACGACGUUUCUUCUGAGUGGCACAAGCAAAUAAUUAAAACUUUUAACAACGGAUCUCUUGGUUCUG
rnacentral:misc_RNA from 1 species